GACGAACGCUGGCGGCGUGCUUAACACAUGCAAGUCGAGCGGUAAGGCCCUUUCGGGGGUACACGAGCGGCGAACGGGUGAGUAACACGUGGGUGACCUGCCCUUAGCUCUGGGAUAAGCCUGGGAAACUGGGUCUAAUACCGGAUAUGACUCCAUGACGCAUGUUGUGAGGUGGAAAGCCUUGUGCGGCUAGGGAUGGGCCCGCGGCCUAUCAGCUUGUUGGUGGGGUGAUGGCCUACCAAGGCGACGACGGGUAGCCGGCCUGAGAGGGCGACCGGCCACACUGGGACUGAGACACGGCCCAGACUCCUACGGGAGGCAGCAGUGGGGAAUCUUGCGCAAUGGGCGAAAGCCUGACGCAGCGACGCCGCGUGA
rnacentral:rRNA from 1 species